rnacentral:sRNA from 1 species
GGCCCAUAACCUGAAGGAUAUAGAAAUGG